rnacentral:rRNA from 1 species
UCGGAUUGAAGGCUGAAAUUCGCCUUCAUGAAGCUGGAAUUGCUAGUAAUGGCAGGUCAGCAUACUGCCGUGAAUACGUUCCCGGGCCUUGUACACACCGCCCGUCACACCAUGAGAGUUGGGAAUACCCGAAGCCUGUGAGCUAACUUAUAGAGGCAGCAGUCGAAGGUAGAAUCAAUGAUUGGGGUGAAGUCGUAACAAGGUAAC